rnacentral:rRNA from 1 species
GGUAUUGUAAUAAGAUUUUAAUUGAAUGCUAAAAGAAUGGAUUUACAGGGAAAAGUUUUUUUAAAUUUAAUAAUUAAAGUUAUUUUAAUUUGUGAAGAAACAAUUAUGAAAAUUAAAGACAAGAAGACCCUAAGAAUUUAUGAAUUUUUGAUAUGUAUAUAUAAAUUAUUUAUACAAAUAAAAUUCUUGGUUGGGGCAACUAAAAAAUAUAUAAAACUUUUUUUUAUUUAAAAUGACCCAUUAUUAAUGAUUAUAUGGAAAAAAUACUCUAGGGAUAACAGCGUAAUAAUUUUUGAUAGAUCUUAUAGACAAAAUAGUUUGCGACCUCGAUGUUGGAUUAGGAUACUUCUUUAAUGAAGAUGUAAAGAAAGAAGUU